ensembl:snRNA LOC120096849 U2 spliceosomal RNA
AUCGCUUCUCGGCCUUUUGGCUAAGAUCAAGUGUAAAGUUUAUGUCCAUAUACAUUUGUAAAUGUUAAUGUUCUGGAUUAUUUUGUGUCUAAAGCCACUUUCUAGAAACCUCUAAUUCUGUAGUAGGACUGCUCUAUUGAGGUUUGGUCUGUUG